UACGUAGGGUGCGAGCGUUGUCCGGAAUUAUUGGGCGUAAAGAGCUCGUAGGCGGUCUGUCGCGUCGGAUGUGAAAAUCCAGGGCUCAACCCUGGACCUGCAUUCGAUACGGGCAGACUAGAGUUCGGCAGGGAGACUGGAAUUCCUGGUGUAGCGGUGAAAUGCGCAGAUAUCAGGAGGAACACCGGUGGCGAAGGCGGGUCUCUGGGCCGAUACUGACGCUGAGGAGCGAAAGCGUGGGGAGCGAACAGG
rnacentral:rRNA from 1 species